GUCUCCAGUGGGACAAUGGGUCAGCACAUCUGGCUGUUAACCAGAAGGUUGGUGGUUUAAGCCCACCCAGGGAUA